UUGCCUUGAUGUGGGGGAUAACCAUUGGAAACGAUGGCUAAUACCGCAGGAUGCCUACGGGCCAAAGAGGGGGACCUUCGGGCCUCUCGCGUCAAUAUAUGCCUAGGUGGGAUUAGCUGGUUGGUGAGGUAAUGGCUCACCAAGGCGACGAUCCCUAGCUGGCCUCAGAGGAUGAUCAGCCACACUGGAACUCAGACACGGUCCAGACUCCUACGGGAGGCAGCAUUGGGGAAUAUUGCACAAUGGGCGAAAGCCUGAUGCAGCCAUGCCGCGUGUAUGAAGAAGGCCUUCGGGUUGUAAAGUACUUUCAGUUGUGAGGAAGGGGGUAACGUUAAUAGCGCUAUCUCUUGACGUUAGCAACAGAAGAAGCACCGGCUAACUCCGUGCCAGCAGCCGCGGUAAUACGGAGGGUGCGAGCGUUAAUCGGAAUUACUGGGCGUAAAGCGCAUGCAAGUGGUUCAUUAAGUCAGAUGUGAAAGCCCGGGGCUCAACCUCGGAACUGCAUUUGAAACUGGUGAACUAGAGUACUGUAGAGGGGGGUAGAAUUUCAGGUGUAGCGGUGAAAUGCGUAGAGAUCUGAAUGAAUACCACUGGCGAAUGCGGUCCCCUGGACACACACUGACGCUCAGAUGCGAAAGCGUGGGGAGCAGACAGGAUUAGAUACCCUGGUAGUCCACGCCGUACACGAUGUCUACUU
rnacentral:rRNA from 1 species